AGUGAACGCUGGCGGUAGGCCUAACACAUGCAAGUCGAACGGCAGCACAGGAGAGCUUGCUCUCUGGGUGGCGAGUGGCGGACGGGUGAGGAAUACAUCGGAAUCUGCUUUUUCGUGGGGGAUAACGUAGGGAAACUUACGCUAAUACCGCAUACGACCUACGGGUGAAAGCAGGGGACCUUCGGGCCUUGCGCGAUUGAAUGAGCCGAUGUCGGAUUAGCUAGUUGGCGGGGUAAAGGCCCACCAAGGCGACGAUCCGUAGCUGGUCUGAGAGGAUGAUCAGCCACACUGGAACUGAGACACGGUCCAGACUCCUACGGGAGGCAGCAGUGGGGAAUAUUGGACAAUGGGCGCAAGCCUGAUCCAGCCAUACCGCGUGGGUGAAGAAGGCCUUCGGGUUGUAAAGCCCUUUUGUUGGGAAAGAAAUCCAGCCGGCUAAUACCUGGUUGGGAUGACGGUACCCAAAGAAUAAGCACCGGCUAACUUCGUGCCAGCCGCCGCCGUAA
rnacentral:rRNA from 1 species